GUGAAUCAUCGAAUUUUUGAACGCAAAUUGCGCUUCCUGGUAUCCUGGGAAGUAUGCCUGUUCGAGGGUCAGUAUUAAUAAAAAAUCGGGUUAGUUACAAAUUGUGACGUUACCGGGGUUUGGCCUAUCUUAACAUCUUUGGUUAAGAGGCUUAAAAUUGACGUAUUUAUAGCCUUCUUAAAUGUACAUAAAUUUUUU
rnacentral:misc_RNA from 1 species